GCAGCAGUAAGGAAUAUUGGUCAAUGGAGGCAACUCUGAACCAGCCAUGCCGCGUGCAGGAAGACGGCCCUCCGGGUUGUAAACUGCUUUUAUCCGGGAAUAAACCUAUCUACGAGUAGAUAGCUGAACGUACCGGAGGAAUAAGGAUCGGCUAACUCCGUGCCAGCAGCCGCGGUAAUACGGAGGAUCCAAGCGUUAUCCGGAUUUAUUGGGUUUAAAGGGUGCGUAGGCGGCCUGUUAAGUCAGGGGUGAAAGACGGUAGCUCAACUAUCGCAGUGCCCUUGAUACUGACGGGCUUGAAUGGACUAGAGGUAGGCGGAAUGUGGCAAGUAGCGGUGAAAUGCAUAGAUAUGCCACAGAACACCGAUUGCGAAGGCAGCUUACUAUGGUUUUAUUGACGCUGAGGCACGAAAGCGUGGGGAUCAAACAGGAUUAGAUAC
rnacentral:rRNA from 1 species